ensembl:lncRNA
GAAGAAUUUGACUAAUUUAUCAAAGAAAUAUCCUUAGAAGUUUGUAAAAUAGCUGCAUAGACAAUUGAGGUUUUUAUUAGUGUCCCCCUCCCUGACAGUGACACAGAUCCAAGGAGACCACCAUGGUCUUUGCACCAUUCCAAAAUACUUGUGGUAAAUCCACCGAUUAUCAAAUUUUUUUUUUUUUUCAGCCCAAAGAAAUUGCUUCAUUAAUUAUUUAGGUAAUUCAGUAGGAUCUCUGAGGCCCGUGGGAAUUCUGUGUGCUCCUUCUCUUCCUGCAGGGAGCCCUAAGGGGGCAGUGGCACUCUGUCACGGGGAGCUCUGGGUGCCUGCACCUGAUCUUCACCUCCACCCACCCUGGUGGCACUGCUGUCUCUUUGGAGGCCUGGCACGCCUGCUGCCCCCAGCAUCUGAUCCAGAUGCUCCUCCUCUGACAAACACAGCCUGCAGCUUCCUUCAGUUCUGCAAAGCUGAGGAGCAGAGCACAGCUCUGAAGGAGUGGGCAGAAGGAGUGGUCCUUCUCACUGACAGCUGCUCUUUGUCUAAGGAAAUGAAUAUGAUCCACUGUAAGGAUUAUUUUGACAAGCUACUUCUUAAAAAUACAGUACCCAGACUGGCAGGCCAGGUACUCCAGGCUUUUUGUAUGGCUUUUGAAUGGAAGAAAUAUGCCAAUAACUGAAGUCAGUACUGUAAAACAUGGAUCUUCCUGAGUGAAAGAUUCUGAUUUUCUUUAUUGUGACCUAAAGCAGAAGGUUGAAAUGUUUUCAAGUUCCAAUUCCCUCUGCUCGAGACCAUGAGCAAACAUAUUGAAGCUGAAGCAUCAGGCCUACCUGAGAGCUGCUAUGAGAUUCAGUCUCACUUGCAAGCUGUCUGCAGACCGUGUAGAAUCAUAGAACAAUUUAGGCUGGAAAUGACAUUUAAGAUCCUGUAGUCCAGCUGUUAACAUAGUCCAAGUCCACCACUAAACUAUGUCCUUAAGGGUCACAUCUGCAUAUCUUAAAUACCUCCAGGGAUGGUGACUCAACCACUUCCCUGGCAGUCUGUUCCAGUGCUUGACAGCCCUUUCAGGGAAUAUUUUUCCUAAUAGCCAAUCUAAACCUGCCCUGGGGCAACUUGAAGCCAUUUCCUCUUGUUUUGUUGUGUGUUACUUGGGAGAAGAGUCCAAUGCCCACCUUGGUACAACGUCCUCACAGGUAGUUGCAGAGAGUGACAAGGUCCUUCCUGAGCCUCCUUUCCUCCAGGCAAAACAAUCCCACUCCCUCAGCUGCUCUGCAUCUGACUUUUCAUCCAGACCCUGCACUACCUCUGUUGCCCUUCUCUGGACCUGCUCCAGAAACCUAAUGUCCUUUUUGUAGUGAGGGACCCAAAACUCAAGGUUUGGCCACACCAGAACCCAGUACAAGGAGACAAUAGCUGCCCUGGUCCUGCUGGCCACACUGUUUCUGAUAUAAGCCAGGAAGCCUUUGACCUUCUUUGGCCGCCAGGGCACUCUGCCAAUUGUGCAUAUAAGAGUCCAAAUAAGGUGUGUGAGUAGUGAGAACAUUGUUAAUGGGCAUUUUUGCCCACUCCAUAGACAUACUAGCUGCUUUCCUUUGCUGCACUGCGUAAAAGUGCUUUCAGAAAAAAAAAAAGUGGGCGAAGGAGUAGCACUUCUAACUGUAGGUGAAUAUCUCAGACAU